UAUACUAUGUGGAAGAUGUGUUAAAUUGUGAAGCCCUCAAUAUUUUAAGAAUUUAGGAGGAAAUAAGUUAAAAGGAUGUGUACAUGUGUAUAUUUUCAUUUUAACUAAAACCUUUUAAUAUAUGUGAUUUAAUAUGUAUAUAUAUAUAUAUAUAUAUAUAUGUGAUACUAGCUAAUUGUAUGUAUUAAUUGAAAUGCACUUAUUAAUUAUGAAUCUAUUUUAUUUUUUAUAAUGUUUCACUAAUAAUUUAAUUAUAAAAUCAAACUAUGUUGAUAUGUCAACAUGUAAUAGGUGACAAAUGUCUUAGAAUUGUUUUAGAACUAAUUGUUACUAAAAUUAUUUUAAAAUUAUUUUUAUUUUUUGAAAAUACGGUCCGUUUUGCUUUAACUAGGCUUGGAAGUCCAAAACAAAUUACAAAUAAAACCCAAACACAACAAAAGUAGAACAAAACCCAAACCAAACAAAAGCAAAACAACACCCAACAAAAGUCAGAUAAAAAACAAAUCAGAAACAAUAAAGUAACAAACGAAACACAUCCAGAAGCUUCUUCCAAACCCUUCGAUAACCAGCAACCCAAAACGGCCUGAAACGCUCCCAAGAUUGGCAAACAGAGCCAUCAACUAGAGGAAGAGAGUUGAGAUUCGAUGCAUAGAGUUGCAAACAUUCUCACCCAAGAACUGCAAACAGAAUAGGGAGGCAACUACGACGGUUGGUGGAAACAAUGAUCUAGAUCCCCAGUUCCAAGUCCCGAGGCUGAGCAUCCUUUACCCGGAAUGAAUCUUACGAGUGUUUCAUUGCUUCAGACGCCAUUGCAUGCACUAGUGUAUUUCCUUCUCUCUUGAAGAAUUCGAAACGACAAGACGCGAAGCCCCUCGCCAGAGUCUUCACAUCCCAGGAUCACUCUCGAGAAACCCAUAUCCCUCGCAAACUGAAGACCAUGCAGAACAGCCAUUGCUUCGGCCAACACCACCAUCCUAACCAGGUUAUGCAUUCUGAAUCUCGAGCCCAUUAAAUUACCAUAAUUAUUCCUAAUUAGAAACCCUGAACUGCUCGAUUAUUUGCCUUAGAAAACCCAACGUCCACAUUCACUUUGACCAAGUUCAUAGGUGGAGGCUCCCAAUUAAUUAAGGCUCGGGGUAUGGGAUGCUUUAACAUUCAUGACAUCUCUCUAUAAUCCCCUACCAUAUCCCCGAAUAAAGGUAAUAACCUCCUCACACUUUACAUUUCUCUUUCAUGCAGUUGCUUGUUAAGGGCAAACUAGAUUGCCCAUAUUGUAAUGGCAAUUUCCUCUUUAGUAUUACUGGCAGAAUUAACGAAUAGCUAGUUUAACCACUCGUUGAAAUUCAAAUCUGCAAUAUAACUUGGCCACCGAUAAUUUAACUUUGACCAGACCUGCAUAGCAAACGUGCAGUCUCGCUCAACAUGAACAGUCGAUUCACUACAAUCCCGAUAACGCGGGCAAUUAUUAUCGUGCAUAAUUAUUCUAAAGUGCAAGUUUUGAAAAGUAGGAAUGUAAUUUUUAUCAAAUCUCCACAAUAAAAUGUGAAUUUUGGCAUUAAA